rnacentral:hammerhead_ribozyme from 1 species
GCACUGGUGAGGAGUCCCACAAUAGGACGAAACGGCCGUCCAAUGC